UACGUAGGUGGCAAGCGUUGUCCGGAUUUAUUGGGUUUAAAGGGUGCGUAGGCGGUUCUAUAAGUCAGUGGUGAAAUCCGGCAGCUCAACUGUCGAUGUGCCAUUGAUACUGCAGAACUUGAGUACGGAAGAGGCGAGUGGAAUUCCUGGUGUAGCGGUGAAAUGCGCAGAUAUCAGGAGGAACACCAAUUGCGAAGGCAGCUCGCUGGGACGUUACUGACGCUGAGACGCGAAAGCGUGGGGAGCAAACAGG
rnacentral:rRNA from 1 species